GAUGAACGCUGGCGGCGUGCCUAAUACAUGCAAGUCGAGCGAACAGAUAAGGAGCUUGCUCCUUUGACGUUAGCGGCGGACGGGUGAGUAACACGUGGGUAACCUACCUAUAAGACUGGAAUAACUCCGGGAAACCGGGGCUAAUGCCGGAUAACAUUUAGAACCGCAUGGUUCUAAAGUGAAAGAUGGUUUUGCUAUCACUUAUAGAUGGACCCGCGCCGUAUUAGCUAGUUGGUAAGGUAACGGCUUACCAAGGCAACGAUACGUAGCCGACCUGAGAGGGUGAUCGGCCACACUGGAACUGAGACACGGUCCAGACUCCUACGGGAGGCAGCAGUAGGGAAUCUUCCGCAAUGGGCGAAAGCGUGACGGAGCAACGCCGCGUGAGUGAUGAAGGUCUUCGGAUCGUAAAACUCUGUUAUUAGGGAAGAACAAAUGUGUAAGUAACUGUGCACGUCUUGACGGUACCUAAUCAGAAAGCCACGGCUAACUACGUG
rnacentral:rRNA from 1 species